rnacentral:rRNA from 1 species
CAAGUGAAAGCCCCAGGGAUUAUUGAACGUAAAUCUAUGCAUGAACCCAUGCAAACAGGCUUAAAAGCAGUGGAUAGCCUGGUUCCUAUAGGCUGUGGUCAACGAGAACUUAUAAUCGGGGACAAAUAA